rnacentral:rRNA from 1 species
AGCUAGUUGGUGGGGUAAAAGCUCACCAAGGCGACGAUCUGUAGCGGGUCUGAGAGGAUGAUCCGCCACACUGGAACUGAGACACGGUCCAGACUCCUACGGGAGGCAGCAGUGGGGAAUUUUGGACAAUGGGGGCAACCCUGAUCCAGCCAUGCCGCGUGAGUGAAGAAGGCCUUCGGGUUGUAAAGCUCUUUCGGCCGGGAAGAAAUCGUAUCAGCUAAUACCUGGUGCGGAUGACGGUACCGGCAUAAGAAGCACCGGCUAACUACGUGCCAGCAGCCGCGGUAAUACGUAGGGUGCGAGCGUUAAUCGGAAUUACUGGGCGUAAAGCGUGCGCAGGCGGUUUUGUAAGACAGGCGUGAAAUCCCCGGGCUCAACCUGGGAACUGCGUUUGUGACUGCAAGGCUAGAGUACGGCAGAGGGGGGUGGAAUUCCACGUGUAGCAGUGAAAUGCGUAGAGAUGUGGAGGAACACCAAUGGCGAAGGCAGCCCCCUGGGUCGAUACUGACGCUCAUGCACGAAAGCGUGGGUAGCAAACAGGAUUAGAUACCCUGGUAGUCCACGCCCUAAACGAUGUCAACUAGGUGUUGGGAGGGUAAAACCUUUUAGUACCGGAGCUAACGCGUGAAGUUGACCGCCUGGGGAGUACGGCCGCAAGGUUAAAACUCAAAGGAAUUGACGGGGACCCGCACAAGCGGUGGAUGAUGUGGAUUAAUUCGAUGCAACGCGAAAAACCUUACCUACCCUUGACAUGUCAGGAACUUUCCAGAGAUGGAUUGGUGCUCGAAAGAGAACCUGAACACAGGUGCUGCAUGGCUGUCGUCAGCUCGUGUCGUGAGAUGUUGGGUUAAGUCCCGCAACGAGCGCAACCCUUGUCGUUAAUUGCCAUCAUUAAGUUGGGCACUUUAGCGAGACUGCCGGUGACAAACCGGAGGAAGGUGGGGAUGACGUCAAGUCCUCAUGGCCCUUAUGGGUAGGGCUUCACACGUCAUACAAUGGUCGGUACAAAGGGUCGCCAACCCGCGAGGGGGAGCUAAUCCCAGAAAGCCGAUCGUAGUCCGGAUUGCAGGCUGCAACUCGCCUGCAUGAAGUCGGAAUCGCUAGUAAUCGUGGAUCAGCAUGUCACGGUGAAUACGUUCCCGGGUCUUGUACACACCGCCCGUCACACCAUGGGAGCGGGUUCCGCCAGAAGUAGGUAGCCUAACCGCAAGGAGGGCGAUUACCACGGCGGGGUUCGUGACUGGGGUGAAGUCGUAACAAGGUAGCCGUAGGGGAACCUGCGGCUG